rnacentral:rRNA from 1 species
UGGCGGACGGGUGAGUAACGCGUGGGCAACCUGCCUUACACAGGGGGAUAACACUUAGAAAUAGGUGCUAAAACCGCAUAAGCGCACAGCUUCGCAUGAAGCGGUGUGAAAAACUCCGGUGGUGUAAGAUGGACCCGCGUCUGAUUAGCUAGUUGGCGGGGUAACGGCCCACCAAGGCGACGAUCAGUAGCCGGACUGAGAGGUUGGCCGGCCACAUUGGGACUGAGACACGGCCCAGACUCCUACGGAAGGCAGCAG